GGUCAUAUCAUGUUGAAACACCCGUUUCCGUAAGAUCACCGAAGUUAAGCAACGGCGCGCCUGGUCAGUAACUAGAUGGGUAACCGCUUGGGAAUACCAGGUCCUGUAA